rnacentral:sRNA from 12 species
UAACAUUUGCGGUGAAAUACACCUCUGACUUACUCUUAAAUCAGAGAGUAUGAGAAGGUUGGAUAAAGACCACUUUGUUAAGCCGGGGCAAUGUUUUUCUGAACGACCGCAGUUCGAAGUUGCCCCGGUUUCACAAU